GACGAACGCUGGCGGCGUGCCUAAUACAUGCAAGUUGAGCGCUGAAGGUUGGUACUUGUACCGACUGGAUGAGCAGCGAACGGGUGAGUAACGCGUGGGGAAUCUGCCUUUGAGCGGGGGACAACAUUUGGAAACGAAUGCUAAUACCGCAUAAAAACUUUAAACACAAGUUUUAAGUUUGAAAGAUGCAAUUGCAUCACUCAUAGAUGAUCCCGCGUUGUAUUAGUUAGUUGGUGAGGUAAAGGCUCACCAAGGCGAUGGUACAUAGCCGACCUGAGUGGGUGGUCCGCCACAAUUGGAAUGGGGCCCGGGCCCAACUCCUACGGGAGGCAGCCAUAGGGGAUCUUCGGACAUGGACCGAAGUCUGACCGCACACCGACGGGUGAGUGAAGGAGGUUUUCCGAUCGUAAAACUCUGUUGGUAGAGAAGGAAAAUGGUGAGGGUGGAAAGCUCAUCAAGUGACGGUAACUACACAGAAAGGGACGGCUAACUACGUG
rnacentral:rRNA from 1 species